CACAGGCAAUAAUAAUCGUAAUAGUGCACUUUAUUAUUUUCAUUUAUAAUACAGACAUUUUUUAUUUAAUCAUCGUCAUCAUUUUGUUUUUCCCCUACAUUUCUGAUUUCAAUUUUUAAGAAAUGUUUUGAUCUACUGUGUGUGAAGGGGAGGGGGAGUUAUAGUUUUACAAUCAUAACUGGAAUGGUUGAUAACGAUGACAACAAUAAUCAUAUUGUGAGUACAGAGUGGAUAAAGAAUCAAGAUAUGGUUUAAAAUGUAUACACUGGACAGAAACAUGGGGAGGGUGAUGAUUAUAUGGGGUUGGUAUGGGGAAUGGGCAGAGGGGUUGAGGUAUACCUGGAUGAGAAGAGAUGUAAAGAGAGAAUUAUGGUGGGGAUAGGAGGGGAGUAAGUUGGUAUUUUCGUUUUAAGACUCACCCACAAUGGUGACAAAACACCCCCUCCCCCAUCCCCUCCCAUUGUUUACCUCAACCAAUUCCUUUGAGGUCUUAAAGGGGUUUCGUUCUAGUGUCUCCUGACAGAAUUUCCCUCUUUGUUUUCUUUCCGGGUAGGGCAAGGUGGGGCAUCUAGCCACAUACUAACAGAAACAUCCCAGUCCUCUGGCCUCAAUCAGUGCCAACUGAAUCUAAAACUUAGCACACUGCUAACGUUAUGCCUAGAGCCUAAAUCAUCGUCCACAGACGCAGAGACGCGGAAUAUUGCGUUUGUGAAAUAGCUACAGUACACGGCUUGGAAACCAUACAUAAGGGCCACACAGCCGCACGCACAUCCCAACAUUCUCCAACCGAUAUGUCGCCUUUACAAGUCUUUUAUUCAUUUGUAUUUGAAAAAGUAUGAAAGCCAACUGUCCAAAAUUCUAGUACAUUGCUGUGCAAGCAUCUUAGCAUUUGUUUUGUUUUCAGAACUCUUUAAGAUAUAUAUCAAAUGUUGAUCUUUUGGCUAUUUUUAGUGAGAAACAUUGAAGAGACAGUGGGGUCUUAUGCCAAACUGUUCUGUCAUAUCUCACUCCAAUUCAAAUGACCCCUGACCUAGCAUUUAAAUGUGGCCGGGCAAGGAUGAGUACUCUUAGUCGUGGACAUGUAAACUCAACACAGACAUGGGACACACACACACACACACACACACAGACAGGACGAGCAAACAUAACAGGCAUGUACCACCCUCCUGAUGCAUUAUCUUGUGUCCUAGCUUGUUCUUGAGUUGUCUCUUCCCACUACUGAUCUGUGAAACACAGAUGCAACCUAUAGUCAUGCUGUUCACUGUCAUCCUUCCCUCUGGGUCCAUGUUACUUCCCAGCUGUGUCAUGCAGAACUUCACAGACCAUGAGCUUUUGGAGUCUGUCCACCAGAUCCAAAGCAAAACUGCAUUGCACUAUUUAUACUACAUAGCCAAGCAGAACUUGACCAGCCUGGUGACACAACUGUCAAAGUUCCUGGAACCAUGUUGGAAAAGAAAAACAUCCAAACCAGCACAGAGUGGUGGUUUUGGGUCGCUCCCGCAGUGUGAAAAGGGGAACAGGAUUGCUCCUGCAAUAGGUUCCAAGCUAGAGUGAGAGUUUAGCUACAGCCACCAAUUAACUAUAGUCAUGUUGCUUUGUCCCAAGCAUAGAAGCAGAGAGGAUUCCGUCCCUCUCUUAUUCCAUAUGAACAGUACAGCCAUUAUGGACAGAGACAGAGUAUGCAAAGUAGUCAGACAAACAAUGACAAAGAUAUUGCACUAGAGGUCUCCUAGAUACAGAAUGACUCUGUUUGCCACUCGGGCAGAUUUGGGUCACGGUAACAGGUGUUGACUUUGGUAUGAAGUGGGAUGAUGGCUGGCAGGGAUGUAUGGUGCUGCUCUGAGUCUUAUUUGCUGUGGUCACGGCAGGGUGAAGUGGGGUGACACUGACUAUAUGUGCUAAAUGGCAGUGGCAUGAAACAACAAGACGUCAUAAAUGAGGGUCUGGAGAGCGACUAGAACAAAACCUGCUUUUGCUUUUAACACUCUGUGCAGGAGGUACAGGGUUGGUCAGUACGGGGGCCGUGCCAAGGACAGGGUGAGGGCUAGGACGGCAUGGCAGUAACCAGGGACGCAUGGGUAGGAGGAAACUAGUUGAUUUGUUUUGUUUACAGCUCCCUUUUAGGACAGUGCAUUCCAGUUUUAAUAGUUUGUUUUUUCUAGACAUGAUUCUGUUGUAUGUUACUGACUGUGGGAUUCUGUUUUUGGGAGGGCCUGUGUGUGUCUGUGCGUUGGUGUUAAUACUGCUCGUGUUCUGCAAGUGGGGUGGUACCCCACACACACUAAUUCAGGGUAUUUAUGUGCCCAGAUGUUUGUACACUUUAGGAACAUUCUAGCAGAAUACAAGAGGAAGGGAACUGGAGAUGAAAACCCCCAUCCUUUGCUCCUCUCGUCUGCUUUUUCAAGUGUCUAUGAGCUCAUUAUUUAUUUCAUGGAGGAUUUCCUUAUUUUUCUGCCUCUUAGAAAUUCCCAGAAAUCUAUCCAUAUAUAUCCUUUUUUUGUUCUUUUCAUUUAGUUUCUUUAAAUGUGAAAUCAUCUUCAUUAUACCAAACAAAGACAAAUGAACAAAAAAGACGGAAC
ensembl:lncRNA